AGACUUCCUCCAUCACUGUUCCAUGUGCUUCCUUCCGAAAGCUGCAUGCUCCAUUGUUGAGGACAAACUUUACCUGAAGAGGAGGACCUUUCUUGGGUCAAUCGUGUAGCUGUAUCUGUGUUCCCCUGCUAGAAUCUCCAAACAGGCUCUCCAGGUCCAAAAUCAUACUCAUUCAAUUAUCAUUUGAAGUGUAUGAUUUGGCCCUAAAUAUUUGACAAACCAUGUACUAAAUUCCAU
rnacentral:sRNA from 1 species